rnacentral:rRNA from 1 species
AACGAACGCUGGCGGCAUGCCUAACACAUGCAAGUCGAACGAGACCUUCGGGUCUAGUGGCGCACGGGUGCGUAACGCGUGGGAACCUGCCCUUAGGUUCGGAAUAACUCCCCGAAAGGGGUGCUAAUACCGGAUAAUGUCUUCGGACCAAAGAUUUAUCGCCUUUGGAUGGGCCCGCGUUGGAUUAGCUAGUUGGUAGGGUAAAAGCCUACCAAGGCGACGAUCCAUAGCUGGUCUGAGAGGAUGAUCAGCCACACUGGGACUGGGACACGGCCCAGACUCCUACGGGAGGAAGCAGUGGGGAAUAUUGGACAAUGGGCGAAAGCCUGAUCCAUCAAUGCCGCGUGAGUGAUGAAGGCCUUAGGGUUGUAAAGCUCUUUUACCCGGGAUGAUAAUGACAGUACCGGGAGAAUAAGCUCCGGCUAACUCCGUG